UACGUAGGGUGCAAGCGUUGUCCGGAAUUAUUGGGCGUAAAGAGCUCGUAGGCGGUUUGUCGCGUCUGCUGUGAAAACCCGAGGCUCAACCUCGGGCCUGCAGUGGGUACGGGCAGACUAGAGUGCGGUAGGGGAGAUUGGAAUUCCUGGUGUAGCGGUGGAAUGCGCAGAUAUCAGGAGGAACACCGAUGGCGAAGGCAGAUCUCUGGGCCGUAACUGACGCUGAGGAGCGAAAGCAUGGGAGCGAACAGG
rnacentral:rRNA from 1 species